UUCAAGGAGCACUCAGAAGGUUGCAAUCCCAAGCGGAACAAAAGGGAGAAUGCCCGCCAGCGAGCUGACCACGUCCUUAACUUCCUGAAGUUUGUCAGAGCCAGUUGGUCCUCAUUUCAACCUUCUCUUCCUGAAGGACUACGGUCGGAUCAGGAAAUAUACAGCCCAUCUGUCUGACCAAAACUUUAAACCGACGACAAUAAGAAGCUACAUGACAGAUGCUGUUGCAUUCGUCAAAUAUAUUAUGAGUAUGGCACCAGAAGGGGUGAAAAUAGGCGUAAAAGCCUAAAUGGGCUGCUAGUGGAACUCCAGGCGAGGAUGAGGGACGUGUUGAAAGCCGUGCUAGGGCAACAACUGGCCUAUCGCCGCAGAAAGUCCAGUAAGAUCACAUCCCCCCACCUCUAUUUGUUGACAAAUCAUAAAACACAGAACACAUGUAUAAUAAAUUGUUUCAAAUUUCAGUUGAACUGGUGAAAGCAACUCAUCAUGCAUGGUUUGUUGAAAACGCAUCAGCGAAGAUUUCUCCUGCAUUCGAUGCUCUUGAGAAAAAUCCCACAGAGAAGAAAAGGCAGAGGAUGUUUUUUGGCUCCUGUGUGGUUACAUCGUGGCGGUGACUGGGCACAGAAAAGGCGUCGUGCUCAACAUGACGCGGAAAGAGGUCAAAUUAGCAGAUAAAUUGAAAAAUGGCGAUCACAUCAUACAGGUGGAACAGCACAAAACAGCUCGCUACUUUGGUCAGGCAGCCAUACCGCUGCCAAAAAAGGAGAACGCCUGGUUCCUCAGAUACAACUGUCUCCGGUCUCGCAUAGAGGGAGGCCUGGAGGCAGAAACCUUCUUUCACACUGCCAGUGGCUCGGAGUGCCUCAAGCUCCCCGAGUACUUUAAGGAGGCGUGGGAGUCCUUGGAGUUGGGCGGGGCACAGAGCUUCAACAUCCUCCGUUCCUCUGUGGCUACUUAUGGGAGACAAGUUCUAAUCUAGUUUUUCUUAUAUACAAUAAUGUAUGGUGAAAUGUGGCAUGCAUUUUAGUCCUGUGUGUUUUCUGUUUUACAUUUUUCAUUCCUCUAGUCACAGAGGCAACUGGGCUCAAAGGCCUACAAACGAGUGGUGGCC